GAUGAACGCUGGCGGCGUGCUUAACACAUGCAGGUCGAACGAAGCAUUUGCGACAGAUUUUUUCGGAAUGAAGUUGCUUAUGACUGAGUGGCGGACGGGUGAGUAACGCGUGGGUAACCUGCCUUGUACUGGGGGAUAGCAGCUGGAAACGGCUGGUAAUACCGCAUAAGCGCACAAUGUUGCAUGACAUGGUGUGAAAAACUCCGGUGGUAUAAGAUGGACCCGCGUCUGAUUAGCUAGUUGGUGAGAUAACAGCCCACCAAGGCGACGAUCAGUAGCCGACCUGAGAGGGUGACCGGCCACAUUGGGACUGAGACACGGCCCAGACUCCUACGGGAGGCAGCAGUGGGGAAUAUUGCACAAUGGAGGAAACUCUGAUGCAGCGACGCCGCGUGAGUGAAGAAGUAAUUCGUUAUGUAAAGCUCUAUCAGCAGGGAAGAUAGUGACGGUACCUGACUAAGAAGCUCCGGCUAAAUACGUG
rnacentral:rRNA from 1 species